UGUAAAGUUCAAGCUCCGAUUAUGAGGGCGAACCGCGAAUGGCUCAUUAAAUCAGUCAUAAUCUACUUGAUUGUUUCAAGUUUAUAUGGAUAACUGUGGUAAUUCUAGAGCUAAUACAUGCACAAAAGGGACGACUCUCACGCAAAGGGGAGAAGUUCUGCGUUUAUUAGACUAAGACCAAUGAGCUACUUCGGUAACUCUCAAUCUAAGGUGACUCUGAGUAAAUAAUGGGUGAAAGCCCAUGUUGCUGACCUGACAUACCAAAAGGCCUAAACAGCCUGUCAGGCAAAUCAAUCGAGUGUCUGCUCUAUCAACUGUGGAUGGUAGGGUAAUUGCCUACCAUGGUGAUGACGGGUAACGGGGAGUUAGGGCUCGACUCCGGAGAACAAGCCUGAGAAACGGCUAGUAGGACUAAGGUCUGCAGCAGGCGCGAAACUUACACAAUGCUAGAUUACGACAUAGCGAUGUAGUGAAGAAAAAUAACGAUGUACUUACAUUUAAACAUGUUAGUACAAUUGGAAUGAGACGACUCUAAACCAGUCAGUCGAGUAACAAAUGGAGGGCAAGUCUGGUGCCAGCAGCCGCGGUAAUUCCAGCUCCAUUAGCAUACAUUAAAGUUGUUGCGGUUAAAAAGCUCGUAGUUGAAUUUCGGGCGGGCUCUAUUGGGAUGCAACCGUCAAGGUCUCCAACGUUGGUUCGCCCAUAUUGGCAGACUGGUUGUAUUUUCCUUAUAGGAACCCGUUGUUUCGUCACUUAAUCGAGUGCGAAGCGGGCUGGUACUAUAAUAAACUUCGGUUUUUAAGUAACAGCAUGUUUACCUUGAGAAAAUUAGAGUGCUCACAGCAGGCAGUUGGGGUGUAAAAACCCCUUUAUGCUUGAAUAAUGUUGCAUGGAAUAAUAGAAUACGGCCUCGGUUCUAUUCUGUUGGUCUUAUAGAACAACAAAAAAGUUGAUUAAAGCGAUCAAAAGUCCUUUUUGAGUGUGGCUUUGUAUUGUAUGGGUCAACCAAAUCAAACAGGUACUGUUGUCUAGGGCUUUAAAUCUUAGUACCUUGCCUGUCUUGAAUCUUGGUCCCCAUGCUUGCAUUGUCAUCUAAAGCACUCUUAAUGUGGCUAGCUUUCUAAUCAACUGAGGCAAUGGUUAAAAGAAAUAGUCGCGGCGGCAUCAGUACUGCAUCGUGAGAGGUGAAAUUCUUAGACCGAUGCAAGACUAACUGAAGCGAAAGCGUUUGCCGAGGAUAUUUUCAUUAAUCAAGAACGAAAGUUAGAGGUUCGAAGGCGAUCAGAUACCGCCCUAGUUCUAACCAUAAACGUUGCCAACUAGCAAUUGGGUUGCGAUUCCUUUAAUCGAAGCCUAAAAAACUUCGAUCAUUAUGAUCCACCCAGCGGCUCUCGUAGGGAAACCAAAGUGUUUGGGUUCCGGGGGAAGUAUGAUUGCAAAGUUGAAACUUAAAGGAAUUGACGGAAGGGCACCACCAGGAGUGGAGCCUGCGGCUUAAUUUGACUCAACACGGGGAAACUUACUAGAUUAGAACUCUGGAAUGAUUGACAGAUUGAUAGCUCUUUCUUGAUUCAGAGGAUGGUGGUGCAUGGCCGUUCUUGAUUCGUAUUCCGAAACGUCUGCUUAAUUGCGAUAACGAGUGAGACCUCACCCAACUAACUAGUCGUUUGGUGCGCUGUGGAACGUAAAAGUCUGCGUAAGUUCAGUCUUGGUUAUAGCGGGGCAACUCGUGGAUCAAGGCUCCUUGCGUUAGAUGUUCUCUGCUCGCCAGCGGACUUCUUAGAGGGAUAAACGGUGUUUUAGCCGUAAGAAACGAG
rnacentral:rRNA from 1 species